AACAAUAGGUAACCCUAUUAUUGUUGGGGUACUGAGAGAGGCAAAUAGAUUUUCAUUCUUAUUCAAAUCAUCAUA